rnacentral:RNase_P_RNA from 1 species
UUUGACUAGCGGAUGGCCGCGUGGAUUAUAUUCACGAGGAAAGUCCGGGCUACAUAGAGUAUGGAGAUGGGUAACGCCCACCUAGAUUGUAUCGCUUCGGCGAGGCAUUCUAAGGACAAGUGCCGCAGAAAAUUACCGCCAAUUUAUUGGUAAGGGUGAAAAGGCGAGGUAAGAGCUCACCGGGUGCCUGGUGACAGGUAUCGCGAAGGUAAACUCCUCCAGUAGCAAGUUCAAAUUUCGGGUACGUUACUCGCGAGGUUUGUUUCGACAUUCCAGCCCGAUGGUAGAAUGCUUGAGGCGCGGAGUAAUUCGCGUCCUAGAUAGAUGGUCAUCGACUAAUUUAUUAGUUACAGAACCCGGCUUAUAGCUAGUCACUUGAA